rnacentral:rRNA from 1 species
UACACAUGCAGUCGAACGAGAAACCUUCGGGUGAGUACAGUGGCGCACGGGUGAGGAACGCGUAGGUAAUCUACCCUCUGGCGGGGGACAACACUCCGAAAGGAAUGCUAAUACCGCGUAAGACCACACUCACUACGGUGAGAGUGGUAAAAGGUGCCCUUAAAGCACCACCAGAGGAUGAGCCUGCGUCCCAUCAGCUAGUUGGUGAGGUAACGGCUUACCAAGGCGAAGACGGGUAGCUGGUCUGAGAGGAUGAUCAGCCACACUGGCACUGGAACACGGGCCAGACUCCUACGGGAGGCAGCAGUGAGGAAUAUUGGGCAAUGGGCGAAAGCCUGACCCAGCCACGCCGCGUGUGUGAUGAAGGCCUUCGGGUCGUAAAGCACUGUGGGGAGGGACGGAACCGCGCAUCAGGAAAUGGGUGCGCCUUGACGGUACCUCCUUAGCAAGCACCGGCUAACUCUGUGCCAGCAGCCGCGGUAAUACAGAGGGUGCAAACGUUGCUCGGAUUUACUGGGCGUAAAGCGCGUGUAGGCGGACUCGCAAGUCGGUUGUGAAAUCCCUGGGCUCAACCUAGGAACUGCAUCCGAAACUGCGUGUCUUGAGUAAUGGAGAGGGUGGCGGAAUUCCCGGUGUAGAGGUGAAAUUCGUAGAUAUCGGGAGGAACAUCAGUGGCGAAGCGGCCACCUGGACAUUUACUGACGCUGAGACGCGAAAGCGUGGGGAGCAAACAGGAUUAGAUACCCUGGUAGUCCACGCCGUAAACGAUGAGUACUAGGUGCAGCGGAUAUCGACCUCUGCUGUGCCGUAGCUACGCGUUAAGUUCUCCGCCUGGGGGAGUACACAUGCAUACACAUGCACAAAGAA